rnacentral:rRNA from 1 species
UCGGGAAUUUUGGGCAAUGGGGGAAACCCUGACCCAGCAACGCCGCGUGAAGGAUGAAGUAUUUCGGUAUGUAAACUUCGAAAGAAUAGGAAGAAUAAAUGACGGUACUAUUAUAAGGUCCGGCUAACUACGUGCCAGCAGCCGCGGUAAUACGUAGGGACCAAGCGUUGUUCGGAUUUACUGGGCGUAAAGGGCGCGUAGGCGGCAUGACAAGUCACUUGUGAAAUCUCUGGGCUUAACCCAGAACGGCCAAGUGAUACUGUCGCGCUAGAGUGCAGAAGGGGCAAUCGGAAUUCUUGGUGUAGCGGUGAAAUGCGUAGAUAUCAAGAGGAACACCUGAGGUGAAGACGGGUUGCUGGGCUGACACUGACGCUGAGGCGCGAAAGCCAGGGGAGCAAACGGGAUUAGAUACCCCUGUAGUCCCUGAGCGGGCUGGCAAGGCGCAU